rnacentral:lncRNA from 1 species
CUGGGAGGAGUUACGCAGGCAGGGUUGUGGUUGCUGGCUGUUACCAGGACAACCGGAGGCGAUUGACCGUUAUCUGCGGUUUGGAGCCGUUAGCGGGAGAGGCAGAGAUAUUCAGAGGUCUUUUAGGAUGCGCUAAAGGGUCGUGAGGGCUCUCUUAAAAUUUUCUUCACAAGCGGUUAUCCAGUCGUGCCCCGCGGCCCUGCUGCUGGCCCCGGGGAUCUGAGUCGUACCCUCUUGUUUUUCUCUGAGUCAGUCUUAAGGUGAAAUGAAGUGUGGCCCAGUGGCUCCUCACUGUCGCUUCUCUAGUUUUCUGCCUCCUUUUAGAAAAUUGAAUUGAAAAGACAGGAUGAAGUGGACACAGCAUGUGAAGACAAUUCUUUCAAGAAGUUUGGCUGUCAAGGAAAACAGAGAAUGUAUUA